rnacentral:rRNA from 1 species
CCUACGGGUGGCAGCAGUGGGGAAUAUUGGACAAUGGGGGGAACCCUGAUCCAGCCAUGCCGCGGGUGUGAAGAAGGCCCUCGGGUUGUAAAGCACUUUCAGUGAGGAAGAACGCCUGGUGGUUAAUACCCAUCAGGAAAGACAUCACUCACAGAAGAAGCACCGGCUAACUCCGUGCCAGCAGCCGCGGUAAUACGGAGGGUGCGAGCGUUAAUCGGAAUUACUGGGCGUAAAGCGCGCGUAGGUGGCUUGAUAAGCCGGUUGUGAAAGCCCCGGGCUCAACCUGGGAACGGCAUCCGGAACUGUCAAGCUAGAGUGCAGGAGAGGAAGGUAGAAUUCCCGGUGUAGCGGUGAAAUGCGUAGAGAUCGGGAGGAAUACCAGUGGCGAAGGCGGCCUUCUGGACUGACACUGACACUGAGGUGCGAAAGCGUGGGUAGCAAACAGGAUUAGAUACCCCAGUAGUC